rnacentral:sRNA from 1 species
CAUCGCUGCUGCGCAAGGAUGCGCGCAGGAUCACGGAUGAUCGACCCAGGCCAUGGAGGCCGCCGACAGGAUGUCGGAAUGCUUUGGAGAAAACCCGCUUCGGCGGGUUUUCU